UACAGAGGGUGCGAGCGUUAAUCGGAAUUACUGGGCGUAAAGCGUGCGUAGACGGUUAUUUAAGUCGGGUGUGAAAGCCCUGGGCUCAACCUGGGAAUGGCAUUGGAAACUGGCGAUCUAGAGUGCGGUAGAGGGUAGUGGAAUUCCCGGUGUAGCAGUGAAAUGCGUAGAGAUCGGGAGGAACAUCUGUGGCGAAGGCGACUGCCUGGACCAGCACUGACACUGAGGCACGAAAGCGUGGGGAGCAAACAGG
rnacentral:rRNA from 1 species